UACAGAGGGUGCGAGCGUUGUCCGGAAUCACUGGGCGUAAAGGGCGUGUAGGCGGCUGGAUAAGCCGCGUGUGAAAUCCCGGGGCUCAACCCCGGAACGGCACGCGGGACUGUUCGGCUAGAGAAUGGUAGAGGCAAGUGGAAUUCCUGGUGUAGCGGUGGAAUGCGUAGAGAUCAGGAAGAACACCGGUGGCGAAGGCGGUUCUCUGGGAAUGUCCUGACGCUGGAGGAGCGAAAGUGUGGGGAGCGAACAGG
rnacentral:rRNA from 1 species